rnacentral:rRNA from 1 species
GAUGAACGCUGGCGGCGUGCCUAAUACAUGCAAGUCGAGCGAACAGACGAGGAGCUUGCUCCUCUGACGUUAGCGGCGGACGGGUGAGUAACACGUGGAUAACCUACCUAUAAGACUGGGAUAACUUCGGGAAACCGGAGCUAAUACCGGAUAAUAUAUUGAACCGCAUGGUUCAAUAGUGAAAGACGGUUUUGCUGUCACUUAUAGAUGGAUCCGCGCCGCAUUAGCUAGUUGGUAAGGUAACGGCUUACCAAGGCAACGAUGCGUAGCCGACCUGAGAGGGUGAUCGGCCACACGGGAUCUGAGACACGGUCCAGACUCCGACGGGGGGCAGCAGUAGGGAAUCUUCCGCAAUGGGCGAAAGCCUGACGGAGCAACGCCGCGUGAGUGAUGAUGGUCUUCGGAUCGUAGAACUCUGUUAUUAGGGAAGAACAAAUGUGUAAGUAACUAUGCACGUCUUGACGGUACCUAAUCAGAAAGCCACGGCUAACUACGUG